rnacentral:lncRNA from 1 species
CUGAAGAAUAAGCAGGAAGGACGGGAAGAGGUGGAAUCCAGAGCUUCUUCUUCUUCUUCCAAUACGAGAAUCUAAUUCUCUUUCUCUUUCUCUUUAUCUUUCUCUCUCUGUGGUGUUUUUUUUUCCUCUGUUAGUUACGCUUCGUGGCGACCAAGAAAUAUAGAAUAGAAGAAUUUAAAGGCGUGCGUUAUACCUAAUUUAUUUGAGAUGCGUUUUUGUUUUAUGCCACUGGUAAUCGUAUAUGCGUUGUGUUUGUGCUAAUAUAUAUGCGUGUAUGUCACCGCCUUUCC